UUGUAUAGAUACAGAUGACACAGACUUGCAAGGAAUUUUAAUGUUGGUUCAAACACCUGAUACAAACACCGUAGAACAGAAUUAUUUAGAUACAGAUGACACAGACUUGCAAGGAAUUUCUAUGUUGGUUCAAACACCUGAUACAAACACCGUAGAACAGAAUUAUUUAGGUACAGAUGACACAGACUUGCAAGGAAUUUCUAUGUUGGUUCAAACACCUGAUACAAACACCGUAGAACAGAAUUAUUUAGGUA